CCUACGGGGGGCUGCAGUUUCGAAUCAUUGACAAUGGGCGAAAGCCUGAUCGUGCGACGCCGCGUGAGGGACGAAGGUCUUCGGAUUGUAAACCUCUGUCACCGGGGAAGAACCGCCAAACGCUAACACCGUUUGGUCUGACUUAACCCGGAGAGGAAGCAGUGGCUAACUCUGUGCCAGCAGCCGCGGUAAUACAGAGACUGCAAGCGUUAUUCGGAUUCACUGGGCGUAAAGGGUGCGCAGGCGGCCGUGUGUGUCAGGUGUGAAAGCCCGGG
rnacentral:rRNA from 1 species